rnacentral:snRNA from 1 species
CGAUGGAACAAUGUAGGCAAGG